rnacentral:rRNA from 1 species
UACGAGGGGAGCAAGCGUUGUUCGGAUUUACUGGGCGUAAAGGGCGCGUAGGCGGUCGUGACAAGUCACUUGUGAAAUCUCCGGGCUUAACUCGGAACGGUCAAGUGAUACUGUCGGACUAGAGUACAGAAGGGGCUACUGGAAUUCUCGGUGUAGCGGUGAAAUGCGUAGAUAUCGAGAGGAACACCUGCGGCGAAGGCGGGUAGCUGGGCCGACACUGACGCUGAGGCGCGAAAGCCAGGGGAGCGAACGGG